CUGUGCAACCAUUAGCAAGGGAGAGAGGAGAAGAUGCAAUCCAUCCUGCUAUGUCUUGUUCUCCUGAGCAUCUCACCUGGUUUCUGUGCCAGCCCACAGCUCACCCAGUCCAGUCCAAUGCUGGUGAAACCUGGUGGGUCCUUCAAACUGACCUGCACCGUUUCUGGGGUGCAAGUCAGUGAUUACUACUGGGACUGGAUCCGGCAGGCUCAAGGGGAGAGGCUGGAGUGGCUGGGGUUCAUCCGCAACACUGCAAACCAAGGAACCGUCCAACUCAAUCCUGCAUUCAGUAGUCGAACGAGCAUCACCAGGGACACAUCCAAGAAUGAGGUGUAUCUUCAGUUGAGCUCCACCACAGCUGCAGACACUGCAAUGUAUUAUUGUGCACGAGACACAGUGUCUCAAAGCACUGGAGCAUCCAUGCAAAAACCACCCCGACCUCCACCACAGCCACAUGCAUGGGCACUGGCAUGA